rnacentral:rRNA from 1 species
GCGUCCGUAGCCUGUUCUAUAAGUUUCCGGUUAAAUCCACUAGCUCAACUAAUGGGCUGCCGAAAAUACUGUAGAACUAGGGAGUGGGAGAGGUAGACGGUAUUCGGUAGGAAGGGGUAAAAUCCUUUGAUCUAUUGAGGACCACCUGUGGCGAAGGCGGUCUACCAGAACACGUUCGACGGUGAGGGAUGAAAGCUGGGGGAGCAAACCGGAUUAGAUACCCGGGUAGUCCCAGCUGUAAACGAUGCAGACUCGGUGAUGCGCUGGCUUGUGGCCAGUGCAGUGCCGCAGGGAAGCCGUUAAGUUUGCCGCCUGGGAAGUACGUACGCAAGUAUGAAACUUAAAGGAAUUGGCGGGGGAGCACCACAAGGGGUGAAGCCUGCGGUUCAAUUGGAGUCAACGCCAGAAAUCUUACCCGAAGAGACAGCAGAAUGAAGGUCAAGCUGGAGACUUUACCAGACAAGCUGAGAAGUGGUGCAUGGCCGUCGCCAGCUCGUGCCGUGAGAUGUCCUGUUAAGUCAGGUAACGAGCGAGAUCCCUGCCUCUAGUUGCCACCAUUACUCUCAGGAGUAGUGGGGCGAAUUAGCGGGACCGCCGCAGUUAAUGCGGAGGAAGGAAGGGGCCACGGCAGGUCAGUAUGCCCCGAA